rnacentral:misc_RNA from 1 species
UACGUAGGGCACAAGCGUUAUCCGGAAUCACUGGGCGUAAAGCGUUUCGUAGGCGGAAUAUUAAGUUGUUAGUGAAAUCCUGCGGCUCAACCGUAGAAUUGCUGGCAAAACUGGUAUUCUAGAAUCUCACAGGGGAGGUUGGAACUGUUGGUGUAGCAGUGAAAUGCGUUGAUAUCAACAGGAACACCGAGGGCGAAGGCAGACCUCUGGGUGAGCAUUGACGCUGAGGAACGACAGCUAGGGGAGCGAAAGGG